GGAGGCAGCAGUGGGGAAUCUUCCGCAAUGGACGAAAGUCUGACGGAGCAACGCCGCGUGAGUGAUGAAGGAUUUCGGUCUGUAAAGCUCUGUUGUUUAUGACGAAGUGCAGUGUGUGAACAAUGCAUUGCAAUGACGGUAGUAAACGAGGAAGCCACGGCUAACUACGUGCCAGCAGCCGCGGUAAUACGUAGGUGGCGAGCGUUGUCCGGAAUUAUUGGGCGUAAAGAGCAUGUAGGCGGCUUAAUAAGUCGAGCGUGAAAAUGCGGGGCUCAACCCCGUAUGGCGCUGGAAACUGUUAGGCUUGAGUGCAGGAGAGGAAAGGGGAAUUCCCAGUGUAGCGGUGAAAUGCGUAGAUAUUGGGAGG
rnacentral:rRNA from 1 species